rnacentral:lncRNA from 1 species
CACAUAUGAUGUGAGGGUCGCUACAGCAUUUUCCAUGGCGUAAAUUUUGCCUUGUUCGUUUCACUAUAGCAAAUGUACUUUCUGUUAAAUUGCUCUCAACUAUCGUGCUGCACUUCAGUUGUUUCUGGUCUGCGUGUAAGGAAGGGCUUCGAAGAUGCUAAGAACAUACGCUGGCGUUGGAAUUAUCCUGUUCGCGACGUGUAUGAUCGGUGCUUCUCAUGCCAAGCUGAAAGAUGGUUGCACAUUAGGAUAAACUGCGCGCUUGUGGUGACGAUUACCUUCCUUUCGGAAAGAGAUCGCAGAUCGCCACCUCGGGUGCGCCAUUCGUAAAGCAAUGUAGGACGUACAAGGAACAGAUAUCAUGCAGUAGGAACUUCGUCAAUGACUGUCUCAUUGAUGUAUUCAAGGAUGCCGCAAUACUGGCGCUGGACUCCUACAAGGCGAGCAUCGACGAGAUCUGCACCCCGGGUUCUAAGCUGUACAACGCAUACCACAAAUCUGUCGGCUGCUUGAAUUCUGCUGGCACGAAAAUCCAUGGCUGCGUCAACGAUUUCUUUGGACAUAAGCUGAAGGCCAUUUCGAAGGCGCCCAGGGAAGGCUUCUUCGCUUAUUUCUGCUGCUCGUAUGGUGGCUUAUUCGACUGCCUUGAACCAGCGCUAAAAUCUUGCGAAAAAGUUGGAGGGAGAGAUUUCACCGUCAGCUUGGUCGAAAAGGUGUUCGGCGAUGCUCUGACGCCGUUGUGUGGAAGCCACGAAGGCGGAUCAGAGUUGUGCAAGUCUCUUCCCAACCUGCCAGCACUGGACCCACUUGAUCAGAGCUUCAAGCAUUACGUCGAGCUCAUAAUUGAAGCAGUCGACACGCUUAUUUCACAGAACUAGCAAUGUAUACUGUGGCCCCAUCAGGUUUAACGUUUUCCGAACGAGAUAACUCGGAGUCAUUAUACUACGUUAAGGUAGGUGAGCAGUAGAGUGCUAUGGCGCUCUCCCAUCCCUGCUCUCGCGACCAUUCUUCGAAAAAAAAACGGGUUGUUUCUCGAGUGUCCUGCGAGUGCGUGCCUACCCUUAUACUUGCCAUCGAUGACCACGCCAACGCAGCGCCUCGCCUUGAAGAACAUGUCAGACACCUACUGACUGGUUUUCACCGUUAUAUCGCAUUAGUCCAUCUACUAGCCCCAAGGCCAUCUCGAAUUUUAUCAGUUAUUUGCUUCGAGUAUACAUCUGAACCAUUCAAUCAACCAAUCAAUCAAUAAAUCAAUCAAGUAAAAAAAAGUUUUUGCUGCUCUUUAGAGAGUGGUCGAAUAACCAAUAUAUCUCAGUUUUCCCACUGUUCGGUAAAGAACACUAGUGAUUUUUCCAUGCGGACAGCAGCACACACACACACACACGCACGCACUACACACAAACACAAGUACACAGAAAUCGAAGAUGUGGGUCAUAUACAACUCUACGGUAAUAGCGUGAUGGACCUUGUUCGUUUGGUGUGCCAGCAUGUGCUGUAUUACGUUCACUACGGUUGCAUUUUGUCUUUAUGAGUGUGCCAUUUUAAAUAAAUGAAUUUUUACUUUCCCUGUAA